rnacentral:rRNA from 1 species
CCCUUUGGGUGUGACUGCGUACCUUUUGUAUAAUGGGUCAGCGACUUAUAUUCUGUAGCAAGGUUAACCGAAUAGGGGAGCCGGAGGGAAACCGAGUCUUAACCGGGCGUUAAGUUGCAGGGUAUAGACCCGAAACCCGGUGAUCUAGCCAUGGGCAGGUUGAAGGUUGGGUAACACUAACUGGAGGACCGAACCGACUAAUGUUGAAAAAUUAGCGGAUGACCUGUGGCUGGGGGUGAAAGGCCAAUCAAACCGGGAGAUAGCUGGUUCUCCCCGAAAGCUAUUUAGGUAGCGCCUCGUGAAUUCAUCUCCGGGGGUAGAGCACUGUUUCGGCUAGGGGGCCAUCCCGGCUUACCAACCCGAUGCAAACUGCGAAUACCGGAGAAUGUUAUCACGGGAGACACACGGCGGGUGCUAACGUCCGUCGUGAAGAGGGAAACAACCCAGACCGCCAGCUAAGGUCCCAAAGUCAUGGUUAAGUGGGAAACGAUGUGGGAAGGCCCAGACAGCCAGGAUGUUGGCUUAGAAGCAGCCAUCAUUUAAAGAAAGCGUAAUAGCUCACUGGUCGAGUCGGCCUGCGCGGAAGAUGUAACGGGGCUAAACCAUGCACCGAAGCUGCGGCAGCGACACUGUGUGUUGUUGGGUAGGGGAGCGUUCUGUAAGCCUGUGAAGGUGUGUCGUGAGGCAUGCUGGAGGUAUCAGAAGUGCGAAUGCUGACAUAAGUAACGAUAAAGCGGGUGAAAAGCCCGCUCGCCGGAAGACCAAGGGUUCCUGUCCAACGUUAAUCGGGGCAGGGUGAGUCGACCCCUAAGGCGAGGCCGAAAGGCGUAGUCGAUGGGAAACGGGUUAAUAUUCCCGUACUUGGUGUUACUGCGAAGGGGGGACGGAGAAGGCUAUGUUGGCCGGGCGACGGUUGUCCCGGUUUAAGCGUGUAGGUGUGUGUUCCAGGUAAAUCCGGUUCACUUUAACACUGAGGCGUGACGACGAGGCACUACGGUGCUGAAGCAACAAAUGCCCUGCUUCCAGGAAAAGCCUCUAAGCAUCAGGUAACAUCAAAUCGUACCCCAAACCGACACAGGUGGUCAGGUAGAGAAUACCAAGGCGCUUGAGAGAACUCGGGUGAAGGAACUAGGCAAAAUGGUGCCGUAACUUCGGGAGAAGGCACGCUGACACGUAGGUGAAGUGAUUUACUCAUGGAGCUGAAGUCAGUCGAAGAUACCAGCUGGCUGCAACUGUUUAUUAAAAACACAGCACUGUGCAAACACGAAAGUGGACGUAUACGGUGUGACGCCUGCCCGGUGCCGGAAGGUUAAUUGAUGGGGUCAGCGCAAGCGAAGCUCCUGAUCGAAGCCCCGGUAAACGGCGGCCGUAACUAUAACGGUCCUAAGGUAGCGAAAUUCCUUGUCGGGUAAGUUCCGACCUGCACGAAUGGCGUAAUGAUGGCCAGGCUGUCUCCACCCGAGACUCAGUGAAAUUGAACUCGCUGUGAAGAUGCAGUGUACCCGCGGCAAGACGGAAAGACCCCGUGAACCUUUACUAUAGCUUGACACUGAACAUUGAGCCUUGAUGUGUAGGAUAGGUGGGAGGCUUUGAAGUGUGGACGCCAGUCUGCAUGGAGCCGACCUUGAAAUACCACCCUUUAAUGUUUGAUGUUCUAACGUGGACCCGUUACCCGGGUUGCGGACAGUGUCUGGUGGGUAGUUUGACUGGGGCGGUCUCCUCCUAAAGAGUAACGGAGGAGCACGAAGGUUGGCUAAUCCUGGUCGGACAUCAGGAGGUUAGUGCAAUGGCAUAAGCCAGCUUGACUGCGAGCGUGACGGCGCGAGCAGGUGCGAAAGCAGGUCAUAGUGAUCCGGUGGUUCUGAAUGGAAGGGCCAUCGCUCAACGGAUAAAAGGUACUCCGGGGAUAACAGGCUGAUACCGCCCAAGAGUUCAUAUCGACGGCGGUGUUUGGCACCUCGAUGUCGGCUCAUCACAUCCUGGGGCUGAAGUAGGUCCCAAGGGUAUGGCUGUUCGCCAUUUAAAGUGGUACGCGAGCUGGGUUUAGAACGUCGUGAGACAGUUCGGUCCCUAUCUGCCGUGGGCGCUGGAGAACUGAGGGGGGCUGC